CAAUUUGCUAAUUUUUUUUCCUUUUGGUAAAUGUUUAGCCAUUUUAAAUAUUAACAAAAAAAAUUAAUGUUAGGUGUUUUUUAAUGCAGAACUAUGUCUGCAGUUUUGAAAAAGUUAUGGAAAUUCUAAUUGAAAAAAAAAAAAUUAUUUAAAAAAAUAAAUAAAAGCCAGAUUAUCUGGUUCCUGAUGUGUAAUGUUAGUAUGCAUGACUAAUAUAAGGAAAUAAAAUUGUUAUUCUACUAAUAUACACUUGUUGUUAUUGUGUGAAAGCGUGUUUACAGAAAAUUUGGUAACACAUUUACAGAGUGUAAAGUACCACGAGUGUACUCUGUAUAUGGAUACACAGCUCUUAGUAUAAUGUAUGCUAUUAGAUUUUCGACAGCCUUUCAGAUCCAUAGUUGGCUUCUCAGUUAUGUAGUAGCUGAGAGUGUGAUAUACAGCAUACAUAUUUCGAGUCUGUUCACAUGCCAAUAGUUUUCAUUUUAUUUUUCCUUGAAACUGCUUUCUGCUGAAUGUGCCUACAAGGCAGUGAGUAUAGUACUGGGGGCCUUCUACAGAAUAGUAGUUUACACCAUUAUAUCCUAGGGUGUUUCAUGUGGUUAUUUUCUGCACUGUAAAACAAACCAGGUUGCUGAUUGUUUUAAUGUGACAAAUACCCUCACUGCCCAAUGCUUUGGCCUAGUAUAUACUUCUCCAUACACAGACCUCUGCAUAAUGCAAGUUCAAAUGUUUGCAGUGAUUGACUAGCAUUGUAGAAAUAAUGCUUUUUUGGAAAGACUUGAUAAUCCCAAAUUAUUAUUUUCCUUGUUUUGUUUGUUUUAUAGUUUUAUUCUUUUUUUUUAUAUAUAUUGUUUUAAAGAGUUAAGCCUUCUGUUUAAAGGUGAUUUAAAACUUGAAUGUGAUAAUAAAUUGUGGCGAGUUGAACUUCAAGUUGUUAUGUGCAAUACUUAUUUCUGACAUUUGAAAGAUCUUUGCAGUGUAAUUCUUCAUUGUUUUUAAUUGCAGGCAUUUAAAAGAUGUCAUUUUCUACUGUUCUAGUAAUCCUCUUUCUUGCUGGUGUUUCUAAAGAAAAGAAAUCAGAAAUCAAUCUUUCUACUAAUGUAAAACUGAGAUUAUUUUUAAAAAAAAAAUGGAAUAGGUGGUUUUAGUUAUUGGCGUUAUUUUGUUACUUUCUUUUAACCCUUGGGGCUCUGGGGGAGCAUGGAACUUAACGAGAAACACGCCCCUCCAGGUACACGAGGGUUAAAGCUACUGUGAUUGAUAACAUUGUAAGAAUUGGGACAAUAUUGUAUUCAACUGUUUUAUUUUUUAUAUUUUUAAAUUUCAAAACAUAAUUCGUUUUUAUAAUUUUCAUCAAAUUCCUUUGUUAUAUUUUUUUGGAAGUGAAAUUAUUAACAAGUGGAUGUCUAGUUUUUACUAAUCCCAAUGUUAUCUUCUUUUCCAAUGUAUUGCUCAUUUAUCAGAAGGAAGAACAAGUUAUUUAAGUAUGUCUGUUAAAUGUACCACUUCGAUGAAUUUACACAUAGUUUAUACUGUGUAUGGGGAGGUUGUUGUAUUUAUUAUAGCAUUUUAAAUAAAGGUAAUUCAUUUUUUUAUUAAAGUCAUUUUCACGUUUAAGUUCAUAUUUUUGUAUGUUCUACUCUAAUUAAGUUAUAUAACACAAGUUCUUUUUUUAAAGAGUUCAUUUGUUGAAGUGCUAGUGAAAAAUUAAUGUUAUUAAAUAGUUUGCAAAUGACUAUUUAUACCAGUAUGCAUAUAAUUUUUAAAUAUAUUUGUAAUGUGAGAUGUUGAAUGAAUAAAAC